rnacentral:rRNA from 1 species
UACGUAGGAUGCAAGCGUUGUCCGGAAUUACUGGGCGUAAAGAGCGAGCAGGCGGUUUGUCAAGUCAGAUGUGAAAUACCUCGGCUUAACUGAGGGGGGUCAUUUGAAACUGGCAGACUAGAGUGCAGGAGAGGAUAGCGGAAUUCCCGGUGUAGUGGUGAAAUGCGUAGAUAUCGGGAAGAACACCAGUGGCGAAGGCGGCUAUCUGGCCUGUAACUGACGCUGAGGCGCGAAGGCUAGGGGAGCAAACAGG